AAAAUCUUUACAAGUAUGCAUAUAUGGUUAUAAGUGCAUGAUAUGCCUCUGAAGCAACUACACAAGAACCUUCGAAGGAACAACGACCGUCUCCAUCGAGGAGAUUCAUGGAUGAGAUGUUCCCAGUGGCUCAUAGCAAUGUUCUGCAACUUCUCAGGAAACCUGGACUUCCACAAAGGCCCCC